AAAAAUUCCGAAUCUUCUCGAGUUGAGUCAUCAUCUAUCCGGAGCUGGGAUCCUGCUGAACCUCAGAGUCCUGUUGUCUAGUGAGUGGAGGGGUGAGAAUGAGUGAGAAUACCUGAACUUGUGGUACUAACUCCUGCGCUUCACUCAGUUUUCAUUCACUGCCCACUCUCCUCUCACCGUCGAUUCCGCCGGCAUUUCGCUACCCCGAAGAGCUUUACUAAAGAUAACUGAUUGCUUGUUCAGUGGAAUACAUGAUUAAUGUGUACGAACUCAUCUUCUAUUAAUAAAAUAUACUUAUUUUGUCUUCA